rnacentral:rRNA from 1 species
GCUUACACAUGCAAGUCGAACGAUGAAGCUACUGCUUGCAGUAGCGGAUUAGUGGCGCACGGGUGAGUAAUAUAUAGAUAAUGUGCCUCUUAGUCUGGGAUAGCCAUUGGAAACGAUGAUUAAUACUAGAUACUCCUUCUUACUCUAAUGUAAGUCGGGAAAGUUUUUUCGCUAAGAGAUCAGUCUAUAUCCCAUCAGUUAGUUGGUAGGGUAACGGCCUACCAAGACAAUGACUGGUAGCGGGUUUGAGAGGAUGAUCCGCCACACUGGUACUGAGACACGGACCAGACUCCUACGGGAGGCAGCAGUGAGGAAUAUUGCACAGUGGGGGAAACCCUGAUGCAGCAACGCCGCGUGGAGGAUGACGCAUUUCGGUGUGUAAACUCCUUUUAUAUGUCAAGAAAAUGACGGUAGCAUAUGAAUAAGCACCGGCUAACUCCGUGCCAGCAGCCGCGGUAAUACGGAGGGUGCAAGCGUUAUUCGGAAUCACUGGGCGUAAAGGACGCGUAGGCGGGAUGCCAAGUCUGAUGUGAAAUCCUAUGGCUUAACCAUAGAACUGCAUUGGAAACUGGUAACCUAGAGUAUGGGAGGGGGAGAUGGAAUUAGUGGUGUAGGGGUAAAAUCCGUAGAUAUCACUAGGAAUACCGAAAGCGAAGGCGAUCUCCUGGAACAAUACUGACGCUAAGGCGUGAAAGCGUGGGGAGCAAACGGGAUUAGAUACCCCGGUAGUCCACGCCCUAAACGAUGAACACUAGUCGUCGGAAUGCUAGUCAUUUCGGUGAUGCACUUAACAGAUUAAGUGUUCCGCCUGGGGAGUUCGGUCGCAAGAUUAAAACUCAAUGGAAUAGACGGGGCCCGCACAAGCGGU